rnacentral:misc_RNA from 1 species
CUUUUUUUUAUACGUGGAGAAAUCCUUAUGGACACCCCCCCCCCCUGCUUGGAAGCGAUGGGGUAGUGUCGGACUAUACCGACUAAAAUCCCACGGUGGACCGCCCGACGCUCAGCUGGAAUAUCCGGGACCCAGAAAAUUUUCGGAGAGUUCCCGCCUGAGCUUCAGCUCCUCUGGUCUUCGUACACUCGUCAGAGCGCCAAGACCUGGAGCUCGAAUGGAGGAGACACCACCAGGACAGUCGUCGACGCAUAUGAUACCGUCCGGUAUCCCCUUACGAUCCUGAUGGCGGUCGUCCUAUGAAACCUCCUCAGCAAGAGUAGACUGUAUCGACUUUUCAUCAGAUCCUCUGCCUACACCGGAGUCCCGUACA